rnacentral:lncRNA from 1 species
UCAAAAUGAAACAAAAAUUCAUUACAUUAAACUACAAAAUGUAAAAUACAUUAGUGUCUAACACAUUACAAAAACAUCAUUUUCUAAAAAUAAAUAUUAGAAUAAACAUCAUCUAUACAACAAAAUAAAAAAUUUGGUCAAACUAAAAAAUAUGUUGCUAUUUACAACACCAGAAAGCUUCAUGAAGGGCAACCAACCGGUAACUAUUACACAAGUCAGCUACUACAGUUUUUUGGCCUCCAGAUAACUGCUUCAUGGAUUGUGUCACCUUGUCCAGUAAAAGNUAUAUAUAUAUAUAUAUAUAUAUAUAUAUAUAUAUAUAUAUCAAAAAACUUAAUAAAUAUAACAUUAUAACAUGAAACUAUGAUAAAAAAAAAACCCUUUGAUCUGAGAAGUUUAUUGAUAUGAGGUUGGGGACUUGAAGGAGGCCAUGUCGCAAGAAACCCUUUAAGCCUUUUACAGAACUCACUGCAUAAAUCUGUUGUGGUGCUUGAGAGAUCAAGUUGAAAAAAUGAAAAAAUAUAUUCAAUUUUAGACAUGCAAAACCAAUCUAUGUUCUUGCUACAUACACAUACACACAUAAAACUAAUAAUUGAGGGAUGGAGAACUAACCUGUAAUCUAAUCUGUAUGUUUCUACAUACACAAACAGCCAAAUAUACAUACACACAUAAAACUAAUAAUUAAGGGAUGAAGAAGUAACCUGUAAUCCAAUCUGUAUGUUUGUUACAUACACAAACAGCCAAAUACACAUACACACAUAAAACUAAUAAUUGAGGGAUGAAGAACUAACCUGUAAUCCAAUCUGUAUGUUUGCUACAUACACAAACAGCCAAAUACCACUAUCUGCUCCAUUCAUUUUUGCUCCAACCACCAAACACCACCAUUGACCAUCUUCCUGUUUGCAUCUGUUCUGUACCAUCACAUGCUCAACUACUCCACCAUUUUAGCAACAUAAACAACCGAGAACCAGAACAAAACCACCUACAUCUUCAAUCCAUCGUUCUUGAUAACUUCACAAAUGACCAAGGGACCAAAAUUUUGGUCAAGAAAUUACCCGAAUCCAAAUACCCUUCACUCAGGCAAUUAAUCGAACACUUGGUGGGCAGAUGGUUUCAUACACAAAAAAAUUAAAGAUUUUGGUCAAGAAAUUACCCGAAUCAAAUACCCUUCUUCCCUACCUGUUACAACUGUUACAACCGAGACACAAAUCCAACUAACAAUUCAAAAAGAUGAAGAAACAACAAAUGAUUUUAGAAAGAUGAAGAAAGAACAAACAAUUUUAAAAAAUCAUUAUGUGAUGUUGCAGAAAGAACAAACAAUUUUUAAAAGAACAAAUGAUCUAAUGUCGACUAACCUUUGCAGAAGCUGUCGACGAACCAAAAGUUGUCGCCGUCGAUUGAAGUUGUCGACGCGAUGCUCGGAAACGGAAGUUGUCGCCGGUUUACUUCAUUCGUUGAGUCGAGAGAGGGAACGCGAAUGAGAGAGGUAACAUGAUGAUCGGAAGAGAAGCUAAGGGUGCAAGAGAAGGACGGAGGAUAUAGGAGAAGCAGACAAAGCGGGAAUCCAAAAUUGGGUGAAACGGGAAUGAAAAUUUUGGAGGUCAGACUCGAAAUAUUUGUGGGAAAAGGAAGAGGAUAACCUAGAAAUAUUUGGGAAGCUAAAAAAACAAAAGGAGGCUAAAAAAAGAUGUGGUGUAACGGAUUCGAACACGAGUAUCUUAUGUAUAAUGUCAAGGUAUUUACCA